rnacentral:lncRNA from 1 species
AAACUAGACUCAUUAUUUAUAGGCUUCAAAUUAUAGCUCAUACUUUUAUGACUCAUGAUUUUAUAUUGGAAAAACUUUAAAUACCACUCAUGUGGUUUUAUACUUUCUUAUUUUAAUAUCCUAUAGUUUAAAGUGUAUCACUUUCGUACUAUAUGGUUUUUUUUUUUUUUUGUUAUUCCGUUCACUAAUUUUUUUUGUUAAAUAAGUGAUAAAGUUAAAACUAAGGAAUACUAAAGUGAAUAUUUGAUAAACUAUAAUGGGUAUCUGAAGCUUUUGUGUAUGAUUUAAUGAAAAAUUAAUAAAGGGGCUGACGAAAAGAGAAAAAUAAAAUUACACUGUACUAAAUCUAUACACUUUAAACCACAGAAUACUAAAGUAAGAAAGUGCAAAACUAUAAGGGUGGUAUUUGAAGUUUACCCUUUUAUUUUUGCAUCUAAAACAACAAAAGAUGUAUUUCAAUUUGGUCCACUAUCUUUGUUUUUUUUGUUUUUUUUCUUUUAGAGAGAGAGAGAGAGAGAGAUAUAAGUAGCAUGAUACCACUUUGUUUAUUUCAUUUAGAAACGAAGUUAGCUGACAAUAUGAGUCGACUAGGUUUUGAACUCGAAAUCUCGGAUACCAACCACCAAAUUUUUUGCUAUUUGUAUUCGGAAUGGU